rnacentral:rRNA from 1 species
UAUUACAGCCAUAUCACCCUGCAGCCCAAGACUGGUCGCCCACUGAAGCUAAGCAGGGUUGAGCCUGGUUAGUAACCUGUAGCUGGUGUGUGGUGAGCGCACUGGCGCCGUUGUCC